GGUGAAGCGCGGAUCUGCACACAGGAAGGCUUCAGAUGACAACUGAAACAAGGAACAGGAAGCUGAGAAAGGAAGACACCUCCCACACACACACCUAGCAAAAGCUGGACAUUUCUGGUCAGUCAUCCUAUGGAAAGACUUUCUGGAAGGAGCAAUUAUUCUUGGAAACUGAAAGGUAUUAACAACCUCCAGAAGGCACUAUGACAUUGCAGUUUGGACUUUGUGGAGCAGAACUCAAAGCUGGGCUUAGCUGCUUGUUGACUUUGACCUUGAGCAAAAAGUUAGCAGAUGAUUUAAAGUGUAAGGGAGACAGAGCGAGAACAGAAAGAGAAAGAGAAAGACAGACAGACAUACCCUCCAAGAAAACUAAGCACUGGCCAUUGGCGAAGCCACUUCUCCAGCACCUCAGAAAUCCCUUCAUGAUGAAUCCCACAGACCAAGACAGCCCGUGAGAGAGACCAGAUUCAACAUCACAUUUGAUUCCAUCUGUAUUUCCAGAGUGUUGGGAAGAUUUUGCAACAUAAAUCUCAGCCUGCCUAUGUCUUCUGAAUGAAAUUAAUUUUUUAUGACUUUUUAAAAAUGAAUCAAACAGUAGCCUCACUUUUCAGGCAGUGUGGUAGGAAAGCCUUCAUGCUCAAAGGAAAUCUCACAAAAAUAGUUUAAUCAAAGAAGCAAAAUGACAGUCGACAACACUCCUGAGCACCAUGAGCUGGAGACUUCAGUUAAAGUAUCCUCAGCUUCUGCAGGACAAAAGCCAGAAGUAAUUUUAAAUAGACCCAGAUUUAUUUUAUUAUAGAUCAGAGUCAUGGCAGGGGUUCGUAAAAAGGUCCAUAUGUCGAUUGUUACUGUAAAGAGCUUUUUUUUUAAAAUGUAUGUACUCCAUUAAAAAGCAUCUUCCAUCCACUCUCACCAUUUUUCUUUAACUUUGGAGGUUGUAUUAGUUCCCUAAUUGAUAUGGUUUUGUUAUGUCCCCAACCAAAUCUCAUCUUGAGUUGUAGUUCCCAUAACCCCCACAUGUUGUGGGAGGGACCCAAUGAGAGGUAAUUGAAUCAUGGGGGUGAUCCCUCCAUGCAAUUCCCAUAUAGUGAGUUCUCAUGAGAUUCGAUGGUUUUAUAAAGGGCAUCCCUUCCUCUUUUGCUCCACACUUCCCCUUCCGGUCACCAUGUGAAAAAGGAUGUGUUUGCUUCCCCUUCCACCAUGAUUGUAGUUUCCUGAGGCUUCCCCAGCCAUGCUGAACUGUAAGUCAAUUAAAUCUCUGUCCUUUAUAAAUUACCCAGUCUCGGGUAUGUCCUUAUUAGCAAAAUGAGAACAGACUAAUACACUAAUGUUGCUGUAAUAAACUAUCAAAAACGUAGUCCCUGAAGACA
rnacentral:lncRNA from 13 species